GAUGAACGCUGGCGGCAUGCCUAAGACAUGCAAGUCGAACGAGACGGCCCAAUGAAAACGGAGUGCUUGCACAAAGUUGGAUUUGGUUCCCCGUCUAGUGGCGCAAGGGUGAGUAACACGUGGGUAAUCUACCUUUGAGUCUGGAAUAACAGUUAGAAAUGAUUGCUAAUGCCGGAUUAUAUAUGAGAAGACACACUUCACAUAUUAAAAGGAGCCUCUAAAGCUUCGCUUGAAGAUGAGCCUGCGGCGUAUUAGCUAGUUGGUGAGGUAAUGGCUCACCAAGGCAACGAUGCGUAGCCGACCUGAGAGGGUGAUCGGCCACACUGGGACUGAGACACGGCCCAG
rnacentral:rRNA from 1 species